CUCCGGUCCAGCUUGCCGUGCGGUAGCAGAGAGAAUGGUCUAUGACUAGGGUGGCUAGAGUCUUUGACAAUUGUUAGGGCCUUUGUCUGACACCGCCUGGUAUUGAGUUCCUGGAUGGCAGGAAGCUUGGCCCCAGUGAUGGCUGAGCAGUUGCCAUACCAGGCAGUGAUGCAACUGGUCAGGAUGCUCUCGAUGGUGCAGCUGUAGAACCUUUUGAGGAUCCAUGCCAAAUCUUUUCAGUCUCCUGAGAGGGAAUAGGUUUUGUUGUGCCCUCUUCACGAUGGUCUUGGUGUGCUGACCUCCCUAAAGGCUGUCUUGUCGUUGAUCAGGCCUAGCCAUGACCAGCAUUUCAAAGCACUUCAUUGCUACAGAUGUAAGUGCUACAGGUCGGUAGUCAUUUAGGCAGGUUACCUCGGUGUUCUUGGGCACAGGCACUAUGGUGGUCUGCUUAAAACAUGUUGGUAUUACAGACUCGGACAGGGAGAGGUUGAAAAUGUCAGUGAAGACACUUGCCAGAUGGUCAGCGCAUGCUCGCAGUACAUGUCCUGGUAAUCCAUCUGACCCUGCAGCCUUGUGAAUGUUGACCUGUUUAAAGGUCUUACUCACAUCGGCUGCGGAGAACGUGAUCACAGUCUUCCGGAACAGCUGAUGCUCUCAUGCACGUUUCAGUGUUAUUUGCCUCGAAGCGAGCAUAGAAGUAGUUUAGCUCGUCUUGUAGGCUCGUGUCACUGGGCAGCUCUCGGCUGUGCUUCCCUUUGUAGUCUGUAAUGGUUUGCAAGCCCUGCCAUAUCCGACGAGCAUCAGAGCCGGUGUAGUACAAUUAGAUCUUAGUCCUGUAUUGACACUUUGCCUGUUUGAAGGUUCGUCAGAGGGCAUAGCGGGAUUUCUUAUAAGCUUCUGGGUUAAGAGUCCCGCUCCUUUGAAAGUGUCAGCUCUAGCCUUUAGCUCAGUUUGGAUGUUGCCUGUAAUCCACGGCUUAUGGUAUGUAUGUACGGUCACUGUGGGGACAAUGUCAUUGAUGCACUUAUUGAUGAAGCCAAUGACAGAUGUGGUGUACUCCUCAAUGCCAUUGGAGGAAUCCCAAAACAUAUUCCAGUCUGCUAGCAAAACAGUCCUGUUGCUUAGCAUCUGCUUCAUCUGACCACUUUUUUUUAUUGAUCUAGUCACUGGUGCUUCCUGCUUUAAUGUUUACUUGUAAGCAUGAAUCAGGAGGACAGAAUUAUGGUCAGAUUUGCAAAAUGGAGGGCGAGAGAGAGCUUUGUAUUUGGAGUAAAGGUGGUGCAGAAUUAUUUUUCCUCGGUUUGCAUAUUUAACAUGCUGAUAGAAAUUUGGUAAAACUGAGAAGUUUCCCUACAAUAAAGUCCCAGGCUACUAGGAGCGCCGCCUCUGGGUAGGCGUUUUCUUGUUUGCUUAUGGCGGAAUACAGCUUAUUCAAUGCUGUCUUAGUGCCAGCCUCCGUCUGUGGUGGUAUGUAAACAGCUACGAAAAAUACAGAAACUCUCUAGGUAGAUAGUGUGGUCUACAGCUUAUCGUGAGAUACUCUACCUCAGGCGAGCAAUAGCUUGAGACCUCCUUAGAUAUUGUGCACCAGCUGUUAUUUACAAAAAUACAUAGUCCGUCGCCCCUUGUCUUACCAGACGCCGCCAUAUUACCAGCCAGCUGUAUGUUGAUAGUGUUAUCGUUCAGCCAUGACUCCGUGAAACAUAAGAUAUUACCGUUGGUAGAUUCAUCUUCCCGCUUAGGUCAUCUGUUUUAUUCUCCAAAGAUUGCACAUUUGCUAGCAGAAUGGAAGGAAGUGGAGGUUUAUUCGAUCGCCUAUGAAUUCUCAGAAGGCAGUCCGCCCUCUGGACCCUUUUUCUCCACCUCCUUUUCACCCAAAUCACGGGGAUCUGGGCCUGUUCCCGAGAAAGCAGUAUAUCAUUUGCGUCAGACUCGUUAAAAGGAAAAAAAGGAUUUUGCCAGUCCGUGGUGAGUAAGUCUAGAAGUUAUUUUCGAUCAUAAGAGACAUAAGCGGAACACUAUGUACAAAAUAAGUUUAAAAAAUAAGUUGCAAAUAAACGAACAAAAAAACACCAUCAGUUGGGGACACGUAAAACGUCAGCCUUCUUCUACGGCGCCAUUGUUACAGUAGUAUGAUACUGUAACGAGCCUGGGUUUAUAAGCGCGGAUAUUGACUCUAGCGCUAGAGCAUGCUUUUGGGGCACAGUCGAUGGCGCGCUGGACUUCGGGCUAGAAGGUCGAGGGUUUGAGACCUGCUCCCUGCCUGUUUCAUUACAUUGGUGUCAGAAGUGAUCGGACCUUGCAUCCACGACAGUGCGUGUGCUUGGCCAAUGGAGUGCGUUCAUAUAAGACAGAGUCGUAAGCUAGCAUGAGGACGCGCUCUUUGAAAGGAGGGAGUAGUGUAACAACCCUGGGUUUAUAAGCGCGGAUAUCGACUCUGCCGCUUGAGCAUGUUUUUUGGGGCACAGUCGAUAGCGCGCCGGACUUCGGGCUAGAAGGUUGAGGGUUUGAGACCUGCUCCCUGCCUGUUUCAUUACAAUACUAUAUUUCCUCCAAUUCGAAUGAUGAUGUAUGACCACUAUUCCAUUUGUAACAUAUCAUACUAAAAGGAGGGGUACAAAUAAACUUCCCAAAUCCUAUUGAUUUCCCUGAGACCAUGUUGGUAGAUUUUAAAGAAUCAAACGCGUAUGAGAAUCUUCACUAUAUUGCUCACACCUAUCAAACGUUUCAGAUCUACAGGAGUACCAAGAUGAAAUGGAGAAUAUCUUUCACACACCUACCUUAGCCCUACGGAGAAGCCGGAUCACACUGAUGCCGGUUGAUGCCAGCUCUCGGCUAGGCAUGCUCUGGAGCAGUGGACCCACCAGGACAGCAGGUGUCAGUGUAGAGGUACUCCAGGAAGGAGAGGAAGGUGUCAGAGGAGACUCCGUGGAUGGGCACCACCCGACUCCGUGCCUCCGCGUACUUCCCGCUGAACAUGGCCGCCAUGACAUCGCAGCGAGCCACCAGGACCGCCCGGUGAGCUGGUAACACACUCCCUGAAACACAGUCUAUUUUUAAAUAUAAUCUGGGUGAUUCGAGCCCUGAAUGCUGAUUGCCCUGAAUCAGACCAUAUACCAAAGGUAUGACCAAUUUAUUUUUAAUUACAUUGGUAACCAGUUUAUAAUAGUAAUAAGGCACCUUGGGGGUUUGUGGUAUAUGGCCAAUAUACCACAGCUAGGGGCUGUGUCCAGGCACUCUGCGAUGUGUCGUGCUAAGAACAGCCCUUAGCCGUGGUAUAUUGGCCAUACACCACACCCCCCCCCCCGGACCUUAUUGCUUGAAUGUAGUCCUUAUUUUACCAGGUUACUUUGCUGAGAACACAUUCUCUAUGCCAGCAAGGCCUUGGGGAAGAGUUGAGGAGGAGCGGGGUUGAAUGAUGGUUCAGGUGAAGAGAGAGCGCUUUCGGUAACGUGUUGCUAAUCACACUCUUGACAUGCCUCUAUUGUAAGGGGAAGGUUUUUAGCCUCUUCAUAAUACAGUGGAGGAUAAUAGCGAAAGAUAUUCACUGUAUUUUGUAAUUUUCUUGAAAGAAACAGACAAGCCUCUACAGCUUCACAUCUACCGAAUGAUCUGCUCAUGUACUGUCUCCGAACGGGUCGUUUAAAUUAACCCAGAGCUUAUGACAGCUAUAAAGCAUGACAUAAUGGUUGUCUUGACAGGCAUUGUGUCACUUAUGACAGCCCUCUAUAGCUGGGUGCAGCGCAGGUGAAGAACAUGCUGCAAAGUGGAUACAUUUUGAAGUGUCGGGCAUAUUUAAAAAAUAUAUAUAUUUCAUUACAUGGGUUAUUGUAGAUGAUUGCUUAUGAACUUGGAAUCACCCUGCGAGAGAGUUUGUCAUAAAAACGAUGUACUGUUUCUGCAGCAAAGUCAUUUAUAAAAUUGUAGACAUAAUAUAACAUCUGUAAACAUAAUAUUAGGGUGUCUGUAGUAUUACUAAGCUCUUAUAAACAAAACAGAAGAAUUGUACAAAAUCUGGCAUGAAUGUCUAAAGCACUGCGACUAUUGUAUAUCAAGUGUCAUACAAGGCACCCUAAAUAUGUUGAUGGCAUUUUUUCUCUGGUGCAAUAAUGAAAUGGACUGACUACCUGAGGGCCCUCAGUGAAGAAAUCAGUUAAUCAUGUGUAAUAGCAAAAAGUUUACUUUGUGUGUGUGUGUACUUGCCUUGCACCAUGAAGAUGACAUCAGAGUAGAGGGGAGAGUUGAAGAGGUUGACCAGAGACUGAGGACCAAGCUGGGCGGGCCGAGCGUUAGGCGUAUCCCUGGAGCCCUACACACACACACACACACACACACACAGCGUGGGUUAUGUCUGAGGAUUCCACCACUGUUGGUAUUUACUACCAUGAGUGCCAUUCAUUCUGAGCUUCCAUCUCCACCACCCACCCGUGGCAUAGAAAUAGCCUGUCUACACGCCUGCCUCAGCAGUGGCCAACUCCACUGUCCCUGCCCUCCCUGCCAAGACCGCCUCAAUGGAGCUGGCUAAUGCUGAAACAGACUGGCAGGCAGGCUCGCUUCCAGAGCAGUCUGCAUAUCAAACCCAUUGGCUUCAUUAUGCUGCAGUGAUAUAACAUCGCUCGCAUUGUGCCAGAGCCUGCUGGUUUAGAGUACACAAAUCAUUGACUUUCAACUGCUUAGUCAAUCCUGUAGAUGGAUUGGAACCAAGCGUAUGACUUGUAUUGAGAAAUGAUACAUGUAAAUGAUGAGUGCAAAAGUGGCACUUCACUUCUGAUGGAAUUGAAAUAGAAGGAACUCAAGCCUGGUCACCAGAUCGAAUUAUGAGCCUGCAUGUCACAUGUCUCCUGAUGUUAAGGCAGCCCACAUCCCAUUCCCUUUGCUCAAUCUGAGAGUAAACAUUAUCCCAAUUCAAUCAAUUAGUGCACUGCUAGUACACUGCUUUUGAUCAAAACCACAUGUAUUGUGUUAUAUGGGGGAAUAGGGUAUCACAGGGUGUAUUGUUUUGCAUGUGCGAGUCCAUGUUAACCAUGGGUCACCUUGUCUCUGCCCAUGAAGGAGCGGACGCGGUCCAUGAGUUGAGCCACGGCCAGAGAGUUCUUCAGCUUCUCCCCACGGCCUCCUGGAGGUGCUCCCACUCCCACGCCCCUGGGUCACACCAGAACCACAGGCACACAAAUAACAUAUAUACCACAGCAACAGACA